CUGUUAGGAUGUGGUUAGGUUGCUGUUAGGAUGCUGUUCAGAUGCUGUUAGCCUGCUGUUAGGAUGCUGUUAGGCACAUUUUAGGAUGCUGUUAGGCUGCUGUUAGGUUACUUUUCGUAUGCUGUUAAGAUGCUGUUAGGUUGCUAUAAGCCUGCUGUUAGGCUGCUGUUAGGACGCUGUUAGGCUGCUGUUAGGUUACUUUUCGUAUGCUGUUAAGAUGCUGUUAGGAUGCUGUUAGGCUGCUGUUAGGUUGCUGUUAGGUUGCUGUUAGGUUGCUGUUAGGCUGCUGUUUGGCUGCUGUUAGGAUGCUGUUAAGAUGCUGUUUGGCUGUUGUUUGGCUUCUGUUAGGAUGCUGUUAGGAUGCAGUUAGGCUGCUGUUAGGCUGCUGUUAGGUUGCUGUUUGGUUGCUGUUAGGAUGCUGUUUGUCUGUUGUUAGGAUGCUGUUAGAAUGCUGUUAGGCUGUUAGGUUGCUGUUAGGCUGCUGUUAGGCGGUUAGGAUGCUAAUAGGUUGCUGUUAGGCUGUUAGGAUGCUAAUAGGUUGCUGUUAGGCUGUUAGGAUGUGGUUAGGUUGCUGUUAGGAUGCUGUUCAGAUGCUGUUAGCCUGCUGUUAGGAUGCUGUUAGGCACAUUUUAGGAUGCUGUUAGGCUGCUGUUAGGAUGCUGUUAGGAUGCUGUUAGGCUGCUGUUAGGACGCUGUUAGGCUGCUGUUAGGUUACUUUUCGUAUGCUGUUAAGAUGCUGUUAGGAUGCUGUUAGGCUGCUGUUAGGUUGCUGUUAGGUUGCUGUUAGGUUGCUGUUAGGCUGCUGUUUGGCUGCUGUUAGGAUGCUGUUAAGAUGCUGUUUGAAUGUUGUUUGGCUUCUGUUAGGAUGCUGUUAAGAUUCUGUUUGGCUGUUGUUUGGCUUCUGUUAGGAUGCUGUUAGGAUGCUGUUAAGCUGCUGUUAGGUU
rnacentral:lncRNA from 1 species